ACACACACACACACACACACACACACACACACAGUGCAUUCGGAAAUUCACUUUACUUUUUUAUGUUGUAGUCUGAUACAGAUUUUAUAUUUCAUUAAUCUACACUUAGUACUAUAAUGGCAAAGUGAAAACAGAAUUCUAUAAAUGCUGGCACAUUUUUUAAAUAAAAAACUCUAAAAUAUCACAGUACCUAGUUGACCUUUAUCGGCAAUUACAGCCUCAAGUCCUUUUGGGUAUGAAGCUACAAGCUUUGCACACCUGAAUUGUGGGAUUUUAUGUCUCAAAAUUGGGGGAGUUUUAAAUCCUGUGAAGCAGGGUCAGUUUUGGACCGUCGGUAGACAGCCACUUUCAGAUCGCUCCAGAGAUGUUCAAUAGGGUUCAAGUCGGGCUCUGGCUGGGCCACUCUAACGUAUUCACAGAGUUGUCCAUAAGCCAUUUCUGUGUUGUCUUUGCUGUGUGCUUAGGUUUGAUGUCGGUGAACCUUUUGCCCAGAGCGAGAUACUGAGUACUGUGGAACAGGUUUUUAUCGAAAAUAUUUCUGUACCUUACUUAAUUCAGCUUUCACUCAACCCUGACCAGUUGCCCAGUCCCUGCUGCAGGAAAACACCCACAUAGUAUGCUGUAAGUGCCCUUGAUUUUUUCAUUUGUUAUAACCGUUGUUAAUGUGCAAGGUGUGUGUGUAGGCGGAACCUGUGUUCGGGAUCAGAUUGAUCGGAGGAAUUUUUCGAUGAUGCGCACGUUCACAGCAUGUGCCUUUUUUUUGGUUAGCUGUUAGUUUUUGUCUCUGCAUUAAUUUUGAGAAAUAGCGUGGAUUACAUUUUUGUAAGUUUUCAUUUUUGAACACUGGUACUGGAUUGUCGGAGUUUAGCAAAGUUUGGUAAUGUUUUGCACCCUUGGUAAAGCGGAGCGAGUUUCACGGUGGUGAUUGGUGUUGAACGGUGAUCGAUGGAUGCUUCAUGUUAAAGAGUACGAACUGAAGACGUGUUCCAAUAAACGAUCUACACCCGUA